GGCGCGCGCUGUCUGGUGCGAGAGGCUGCAGCCCCCUCUGGGCGGGGAAGGGGGUCCCGCCGCUUGCACGCUCACCUGUAGCACCUGCCCGCCCCUUUGCACACUCACCAGUCCUCACCAUUUGCACACUCACCUACACAAGCUGCUUCCCCUUCUCUUGCACACGUACUUGCAAGAGGUGCCUUCCCCUUGCAUGCUCACCUCCAGAAGCUGCCUUUUCUGCAGGAGCUGCCUUUUCCCCCUUGCACACUCACCUACAGCACAUGCCCCUCCCUCUUGCACACUCACCCAUGGGGGCUGCCCUUCCCCCUCUUUCUGCAGGAGCUGCCUUCUUUCGCUUGCACACUCACACUCACAGAGAGAGGCCAUGGGCUCAGAAGCUUCAAAUAUUAGAUGCAUAGAACUUCUGCUCCAUGAUUGGGGUCUCUUUUGUUGUUUGGAAAGUCAAGCACCUCAGGUGAUGUUAGACUGUGGAGUCUAUACACAACUCCUGCAAACCCAGCUCCUUGGUCUCAGAAAACAAAAACUCAAAUCAAAACUCAACCAAAACUUCCAAAUUUUGCUUGAUUAUGAGUUGAAACUAUGAGCUGAGCAUGGCUUCCACCUGCAGCUGUAAAUGGGACCCAGGCCAACUUGAGACUUGAUCAGAACUGGUGAACUUUAGCAAAUGUUUCAGCGAGUCAGAGUUUCAACUUGAU